CACGUAGGGCGCAAGCGUUGUCCGGAAUUAUUGGGCGUAAAGAGCUCGUAGGCGGUUUGUCGCGUCUGCUGUGAAAACCCGAGGCUCAACCUCGGGCCUGCAGUGGGUACGGGGCAGACUAGAGUGCGGUAGGGGAGAUUGGAAUUCCUGGUGUAGCGGUGAAAUGCGCAGAUAUCAGGAGGAACACCGGUGGCGAAGGCGGGUCUCUGGGCCGAAACUGACGCUGAGGAGCGAAAGCGUGGGGAGCAAACAGG
rnacentral:rRNA from 1 species